rnacentral:rRNA from 1 species
CCUACGGGAGACAGCAGUGGGGAAUAUUGCACAAUGGGGGAAACCCUGAUGCAGCGACGCCGCGUGAGUGAAGAAGUAUUUCGGUACGUAAAGCUCUAUCAGCAGGGAAGAAAAAAAGUCCUUUGGACUUUGGACGGUACCUGACCAAGAAGCCCCGGCUAACUACGUGCCAGCAGCCGCGGUAAUACGUAGGGGGCAAGCGUUAUCCGGAUUUAUUGGGUUUAAAGGGUGCGUAGGCGGAUCGUUAAGUCAGGGGUCAAAUUGAGGGGCUCAACCCCUUCCCGCCAUUGAAACUGGCGCUCUUGAGUGGAAGAGAAGUAUGCGGAAUGCGUGGUGUAGCGGUGAAAUGCAUAGAUAUCACGCAGAACCCCGAUUGCGAAGGCAGCAUGCCGGCUUCCGACUGACGCUGAAGCACGAAAGCGUGGGGAUCGAACAGGAUUAGAUACCCGGGUAGUC